UACAAUAUAAAAUGGUACAAAACAUUGAUGUAUAUAUUGCAUAGGCAUAUAGUACAACAUAUCUAUCAACACACUGGACUACAAAUCUAUCAACACACAUCAAGUUGGGAUGGAUGGAAAGUAUAAUGUUGGUUUAUAAGAAAACUGUUUUAAAUUUAUUCAUACCUUUUUAAAGCUUAUAAAUAAAUGUGUACAUAUCCUCUGCAAUAUAAGAAUUGAACUGUAGGAGAUUGUAGACUGUAAUAUUUUAAACACAUCAUGGCAUCUUUUGUAAGUCUAUUCUUUUGUUUCUAUCUCCAGAUAUAUUCUUUUUUUUUGUUCACACACAAAAAGUUUUUUUUUCUUUAUGUAUGUGAGUUAUGCCAAAAGUUUAAGCUAAUUUUAACCUAGGACAAUGCAACCAUUUAGAUGUCAUUAAAACCUUUGUUCAUUGGCCUUAUGUACCAGAGCUGUAAAGUAACAAUAUCUGUUCCCAUGUGUAUAUUAUAGCCCAACUUCUGGCCUUUGUAAAGUCAAAGUUUAUGGAUGUAAUUCUUUGUUGUAAGUAUAUCACAUAUCUAUCCCUACAAUGUCCACUUGUGUGGUUUCGUCUCUUACCAAUUAGUUUUGAAAACUGUCCAAUAAAGAAUGUAUUUAUUUGUAAAAAUAAAAAUGUCAAACAAUUCAAUUCCAUAAAUCUCAAA